GACGAACGCGGGCGGCGUGCUUAACACAUGCAAGUCGAACGAUGAACCCGGAGCUUGCUCUUGGGAAUUAGUGGCGAACGGGUGAGUAACACGUGAGUAACCUGCCCUUGACUCUGGGAUAACCUCCGGAAACGGAAGCUAAUACCGGAUACGACGUACGGAGGCAUCUCCUGUACGUGGAAAGAACUUCGGUCAAGGAUGGACUCGCGGCCUAUCAGGUAGUUGGUGAGGUAACGGCUCACCAAGCCUACGACGGGUAGCCGGCCUGAGAGGGUGACCGGCCACACUGGGACUGAGACACGGCCCAGACUCCUACGGGAGGCAGCAGUGGGGAAUAUUGCACAAUGGGCGCAAGCCUGAUGCAGCAACGCCGCGUGAGGGAUGACGGCCUUCGGGUUGUAAACCUCUUUUAGUAGGGAAGAACAGAAAGUGACGGUACCUGCAUAACAAGCUCCGGGCAAUAAUGUACC
rnacentral:rRNA from 1 species